UACGAAGGGGGCUAGCGUUGCUCGGAAUCACUGGGCGUAAAGCGCACGUAGGCGGCUUUCUAAGUCAGGGGUGAAAUCCUGGAGCUCAACUCCAGAACUGCCUUUGAUACUGGAGAGCUAGAGUCCGGAAGAGGUGAGUGGAACUGCGAGUGUAGAGGUGAAAUUCGUAGAUAUUAGGAAGAACACCAGUGGCGAAGGCGGCUCACUGGCCCGGUACUGACGCUGAGGCGCGAAAGCGUGGGGAGCAAACAGG
rnacentral:rRNA from 1 species